AACGAACGCUGGCGGCGCGUCUUACCCAUGCAAGUCGAGCGGCAGGCAGCAAUGCCGAGCGCGGCGGACUGGUGAGUAACACGUGGAUAACGUACCCCGAUGUCCGGGACAGCCUGUAGAAAUAGAGGGUAAUACCGGAUAGAUCACUGUUUACGUGAGGUAGACAGCGGGAAAGGAGCUUCGGCUCCGCGACGGGAUCGGUCUGCGGCCCAUCAGCUGGACGGCGGGGUAAAGGCCCGCCGUGGCGAGGACGGGUAUCCGGCCUGAGAGGGCGGACGGACACAUUGGGACUGAGAUACGGCCCAGACUCCUACGGGAGGCAGCAGGUAAGAAUAUUCCGCAAUGGGGGGAACCCUGACGGAGCGACGCCGCGUGAACGAAGAAGGCCGGAAGGUUGUAAAGUUCUUUUCUGUCCGAGGAAUAAGUUUCGGAGGAAAUGCCGGGACGGUGACGGUAGGGCAGGAAUAAGCACCGGCUAAUUACGUG
rnacentral:rRNA from 1 species